UACGUAGGGUGCAAGCGUUAAUCGGAAUUACUGGGCGUAAAGCGUGCGCAGGCGGCUUUGCAAGACAGAUGUGAAAUCCCCGGGCUUAACCUGGGAACUGCAUUUGUGACUGCAUGGCUGGAGUGCGGCAGAGGGGGAUGGAAUUCCGCGUGUAGCAGUGAAAUGCGUAGAGAUCGGGAGGAACACCAGUGGCGAAGGCGGCCGGCUGGGGGUGACCUGACGCUGAGGCGCGAAAGCGUGGGGAGCGAACCGG
rnacentral:rRNA from 1 species